rnacentral:rRNA from 1 species
UACGAAGGGGGCUAGCGUUGCUCGGAAUUACUGGGCGUAAAGCGCACGUAGGCGGCUUCUUAAGUCGGUGGUGAAAUCCUGGAGCUCAACUCCAGAACUGCCUUCGAUACUGGGAAGCUCGAGUCCGGAAGAGGAGUGUGGAAUUCCUGGUGUAGCGGUGAAAUGCGCAGACAUCAGGAGGAACACCAAUGGCGAAGGCAGCACUCUGGGACGGUACUGACGCUGAGACGCGAAAGCGUGGGGAGCAAACAGG